GGUUAAGCGACUAAGCGUACACGGUGGAUGCCCUGGCAGUCAGAGGCGAUGAAGGACGUGCUAAUCUGCGAUAAGCGUCGGUAAGGUGAUAUGAACCGUUAUAACCGGCGAUUUCCGAAUGGGGAAACCCAGUGUGAUUCGUCACACUAUCAUUAACUGAAUCCAUAGGUUAAUGAGGCGAACCGGGGGAACUGAAACAUCUAAGUACCCCGAGGAAAAGAAAUCAACCGAGAUUCCCCCAGUAGCGGCGAGCGAACGGGGAGCAGCCCAGAGCCUGAAUCAGUGUGUGUGUUAGUGGAAGCGUCUGGAAAGGCGUGCGAUACAGGGUGACAGCCCCGUACACAAAAAUGCACAUGCUGUGAGCUCGAUGAGUAGGGCGGGACACGUGGUAUCCUGUCUGAAUAUGGGGGGACCAUCCUCCAAGGCUAAAUACUCCUGACUGACCGAUAGUGAACCAGUACCGUGAGGGAAAGGCGAAAAGAACCCCGGCGAGGGGAGUGAAAAAGAACCUGAAACCGUGUACGUACAAGCAGUGGGAGCACAGAGCAAUCUGUGUGACUGCGUACCUUUUGUAUAAUGGGUCAGCGACUUAUAUUCUGUAGCAAGGUUAACCGAAUAGGGGAGCCGAAGGGAAACCGAGUCUUAACUGGGCGUUAAGUUGCAGGGUAUAGACCCGAAACCCGGUGAUCUAGCCAUGGGCAGGUUGAAGGUUGGGUAACACUAACUGGAGGACCGAACCGACUAAUGUUGAAAAAUUAGCGGAUGACUUGUGGCUGGGGGUGAAAGGCCAAUCAAACCGGGAGAUAGCUGGUUCUCCCCGAAAGCUAUUUAGGUAGCGCCUCGUGAAUUCAUCUCCGGGGGUAGAGCACUGUUUCGGCAAGGGGGUCAUCCCGACUUACCAACCCGAUGCAAACUGCGAAUACCGGAGAAUGUUAUCACGGGAGACACACGGCGGGUGCUAACGUCCGUCGUGAAGAGGGAAACAACCCAGACCGCCAGCUAAGGUCCCAAAGUCAUGGUUAAGUGGGAAACGAUGUGGGAAGGCCCAGACAGCCAGGAUGUUGGCUUAGAAGCAGCCAUCAUUUAAAGAAAGCGUAAUAGCUCACUGGUCGAGUCGGCCUGCGCGGAAGAUGUAACGGGGCUAAACCAUGCACCGAAGCUGCGGCAGCGACGCUUAUGCGUUGUUGGGUAGGGGAGCGUUCUGUAAGCCUGCGAAGGUGUGCUGUGAGGCAUGCUGGAGGUAUCAGAAGUGCGAAUGCUGACAUAAGUAACGAUAAAGCGGGUGAAAAGCCCGCUCGCCGGAAGACCAAGGGUUCCUGUCCAACGUUAAUCGGGGCAGGGUGAGUCGACCCCUAAGGCGAGGCCGAAAGGCGUAGUCGAUGGGAAACAGGUUAAUAUUCCUGUACUUGGUGUUACUGCGAAGGGGGGACGGAGAAGGCUAUGUUGGCCGGGCGACGGUUGUCCCGGUUUAAGCGUGUAGGCUGGUUUUCCAGGCAAAUCCGGAAAACUAAGGCUGAGGCGUGAUGACGAGGCACUACGGUGCUGAAGCAACAAAUGCCCUGCUUCCAGGAAAAGCCUCUAAGCAUCAGGUAACAUCAAAUCGUACCCCAAACCGACACAGGUGGUCAGGUAGAGAAUACCAAGGCGCUUGAGAGAACUCGGGUGAAGGAACUAGGCAAAAUGGUGCCGUAACUUCGGGAGAAGGCACGCUGAUAUGUAGGUGAAGCGACUUGCUCGUGGAGCUGAAAUCAGUCGAAGAUACCAGCUGGCUGCAACUGUUUAUUAAAAACACAGCACUGUGCAAACACGAAAGUGGACGUAUACGGUGUGACGCCUGCCCGGUGUCGGAAGGUUAAUUGAUGGGGUCAGCGCAAGCGAAGCUCUUGAUCGAAGCCCCGGUAAACGGCGGCCGUAACUAUAACGGUCCUAAGGUAGCGAAAUUCCUUGUCGGGUAAGUUCCGACCUGCACGAAUGGCGUAAUGAUGGCCAGGCUGUCUCCACCCGAGACUCAGUGAAAUUGAACUCGCUGUGAAGAUGCAGUGUACCCGCGGCAAGACGGAAAGACCCCGUGAACCUUUACUAUAGCUUGACACUGAACAUUGAGCCUUGAUGUGUAGGAUAGGUGGGAGGCUUUGAAGUGUGGACGCCAGUCUGCAUGGAGCCGACCUUGAAAUACCACCCUUUAAUGUUUGAUGUUCUAACGUUGACCCGUGAUCCGGGUUGCGGACAGUGUCUGGUGGGUAGUUUGACUGGGGCGGUCUCCUCCUAAAGAGUAACGGAGGAGCACGAAGGUUGGCUAAUCCUGGUCGGACAUCAGGAGGUUAGUGCAAUGGCAUAAGCCAGCUUGACUGCGAGCGUGACGGCGCGAGCAGGUGCGAAAGCAGGUCAUAGUGAUCCGGUGGUUCUGAAUGGAAGGGCCAUCGCUCAACGGAUAAAAGGUACUCCGGGGAUAACAGGCUGAUACCGCCCAAGAGUUCAUAUCGACGGCGGUGUUUGGCACCUCGAUGUCGGCUCAUCACAUCCUGGGGCUGAAGUAGGUCCCAAGGGUAUGGCUGUUCGCCAUUUAAAGUGGUACGCGAGCUGGGUUUAGAACGUCGUGAGACAGUUCGGUCCCUAUCUGCCGUGGGCGCUGGAGAACUGAGGGGGGCUGCUCCUAGUACGAGAGGACCGGAGUGGACGCAUCACUGGUGUUCGGGUUGUCAUGCCAAUGGCACUGCCCGGUAGCUAAAUGCGGAAGAGAUAAGUGCUGAAAGCAUCUAAGCACGAAACUUGCCCCGAGAUGAGUUCUCCCUGACUCCUUGAGAGUCCUGAAGGAACGUUGAAGACGACGACGUUGAUAGGCCGGGUGUGUAAGCGCAGCGAUGCGUUGAGCUAACCGGUACUAAUGAACCGUGAGGCUUAACCUU
rnacentral:rRNA from 1 species